rnacentral:rRNA from 1 species
AUUGAACGCUGGCGGCAUGCUUUACACAUGCAAGUCGAACGGCAGCGCGGGCUUCGGCCUGGCGGCGAGUGGCGAACGGGUGAGUAAUGCAUCGGAACGUGCCCAGUAGUGGGGGAUAGCCCGGCGAAAGCCGGAUUAAUACCGCAUACGACCUGAGGGUGAAAGCGGGGGACCGAAAGGCCUCGCGCUAUUGGAGCGGCCGAUGUCGGAUUAGCUAGUUGGUGGGGUAAAGGCUUACCAAGGCGACGAUCCGUAGCUGGUCUGAGAGGACGACCAGCCACACUGGGACUGAGACACGGCCCAGACUCCUACGGGAGGCAGCAGUGGGGAAUUUUGGACAAUGGGGGCAACCCUGAUCCAGCCAUGCCGCGUGCGGGAAGAAGGCCUUCGGGUUGUAAACCGCUUUUGUUCGGGAAGAAAUCCUCUGGGCUAAUACCCCGGGGGGAGGACGGUACCGGAAGAAUAAGCACCGGCUAACUACGU